rnacentral:rRNA from 1 species
AUGGAGAACAAGGGGGCAGCAGCGGCGCCGGAGAAGGAGGCGCAAGCGCAAGCGCCGGCGUCGUCGACGUGCUUCAAGUGGACUGUGGGGGAGGGCGCGACGCUCAUGGAGCGGGCCAAGGACCAGUACAAGCAGUUCACGGAGGCGCAGGCGAGCGAGCACUGGGAGUGCAUCAAGAACAAGGUCAGCUCCAUAUUCGCCGAGCCCAUCCCCUUCUUCGGCGGGGGCGCCAAGGACCACGGCUCCAGCAGCAGCAACAGCACGCCGCCGCCCGUCGAGUCGCAGUAG